rnacentral:rRNA from 1 species
AUUGAACGCUGGCGGCAUGCCUUACACAUGCAAGUCGAACGGCAGCACGGGAGCAAUCCUGGUGGCGAGUGGCGAACGGGUGAGUAAUACAUCGGAACGUGCCCAAUCGUGGGGGAUAACGUAGCGAAAGCUACGCUAAUACCGCAUACGAUCUACGGAUGAAAGCGGGGGAUCGCAAGACCUCGCGCGAAUGGAGCGGCCGAUGGCAGAUUAGGUAGUUGGUGAGGUAAAGGCUCACCAAGCCUGCGAUCUGUAGCUGGUCUGAGAGGACGACCAGCCGCACUGGGACUGAGACACGGCCCAGACUCCUACGGGAGGCAGCAGUGGGGAAUUUUGGACAAUGGGCGCAAGCCUGAUCCAGCCAUGCCGCGUGCGGGAAGAAGGCCUUCGGGUUGUAAACCGCUUUUGUCAGGGAAGAAACGGCUCUUGCUAAUAUCGAGAGCUAAUGACGGUACCUGAAGAAUAAGCACCGGCUAACUACGUGCCAGCCGCCGCCGUAA